rnacentral:rRNA from 1 species
AGAGCGAACGCUGGCGGCAGGCCUAACACAUGCAAGUCGAACGGACCCUUCGGGGUUAGUGGCGGACGGGUGAGUAACACGUGGGAACGUGCCUUUUGGUUCGGAAUAGCUCCUGGAAACGGGUGGUAAUGCCGAAUGUGCCCUUCGGGGGAAAGAUUUAUCGCCAUUAGAGCGGCCCGCGUCUGAUUAGCUAGUUGGUGAGGUAAUGGCUCACCGAAGGCGACGAU